rnacentral:rRNA from 1 species
AUUGAACGCUGGCGGCAUGCCUUACACAUGCAAGUCGAACGGCAGCACGGGAGCAAUCCUGGUGGCGAGUGGCGAACGGGUGAGUAAUAUAUCGGAACGUGCCCAGUCGUGGGGGAUAACGCAGCGAAAGCUGUGCUAAUACCGCAUACGAUCUACGGAUGAAAGCGGGGGAUCGCAAGACCUCGCGCGAUUGGAGCGGCCGAUAUCAGAUUAGCUAGUUGGUGGGGUAAAGGCCCACCAAGGCGACGAUCUGUAGCUGGUCUGAGAGGACGACCAGCCACACUGGAACUGAGACACGGUCCAGACGCCUACGGGAGGCAGCAGUGGGGAAUUUUGGACAAUGGGCGCAAGCCUGAUCCAGCAAUGCCGCGUGCAGGAUGAAGGCCUUCGGGUUGUAAACUGCUUUUGUACGGAACGAAACGGCCCUUUCUAAUACAGGGGGCUAAUGACGGUACCGUAAGAAUAAGCACCGGCUAACUACGUGCCAGCCGCCGCAGUAAUAC